CGAUUGAACGCUGGCGGCAUGCCUUACACAUGCAAGUCGAACGGCAGCACGGGAGCAAUCCUGGUGGCGAGUGGCGAACGGGUGAGUAAUAUAUCGGAACGUGCCCAGUCGUGGGGGAUAACGUAGCGAAAGCUACGCUAAUACCGCAUACGAUCUACGGAUGAAAGCGGGGGAUCGCAAGACCUCGCGCGAUUGGAGCGGCCGAUAUCAGAUUAGCUAGUUGGUGGGGUAAAAGCUCACCAAGGCGACGAUCUGUAGCUGGUCUGAGAGGACGACCAGCCACACUGGAACUGAGACACGGUCCAGACUCCUACGGGAGGCAGCAGUGGGGAAUUUUGGACAAUGGGCGCAAGCCUGAUCCAGCAAUGCCGCGUGCAGGAUGAAGGCCUUCGGGUUGUAAACUGCUUUUGUACGGAACGAAAAGACUCUUUCUAAUAAAGAGGGUCCAUGACGGUACCGUAAGAAUAAGCACCGGCUAACUACGUG
rnacentral:rRNA from 1 species